rnacentral:piRNA from 1 species
UCCAGCUCUCAGAUCUUAACACUAUAA